AAGACAAGGUAUUUAUUGUGUUGGACCACUGCGCCAGCGGCGACCUUGCAGCUGAUAUCCAGUGUCACAGGAUCCACGGGAGGGUUUCCGUGGGUGUCGCCAGGCACUUCAUGAGGCAGCUUGAUGGCUGAAGGAUUGAAAAUCCUCGGCGAAAUCAAUCUGAUUCACAGAGGUUUGACCGAUGAAUGCAGUCAUCCAAUUACCUACAAGAAGCCGAGUCUUUUUUCCAUUUCUUUUGUUAUCCAAGUUUGGAAGAACUUUUCAUUCUUUUUACUGCCUACAUGAGCCUAUAUAAUCAGUAUAUAUGGUUGCACUUCAGCUGCUAUUCUUUUUAUAAAGAUUUGCCUCAUCCUUGGCUUUUGUACAUUUUAUUUUUUUGAUCUGAUUGUGAUGUUAGUUACUGUCUCAAUCUGUGUGGCACAAAUGUCUCCAAGCUGGUCCACUUUGUCUGUUCUUUUAUGACCCAUUUGGUAUGGAGAUCUCACACAGAUUUCCUAUAAAAUCCUGAGAUUUUAAAUACACCCUUAAGAUCUCACCAAAGACUUUCCACACUCAAUCUACCAUAAUAACAGGAGCAGUGCCCAAUCCCACCUUCCAAAUUCUCCUCCAAUUCCAGUUUGAUAUAGGAAUUCGUUGGAAUUAAUGUCAAACAUGUCAAAAAUCAAUCUAAAUCUCACCCUUCAAUGAAAUCCUGGUGUUUUAACAUAUUAACUUUAAGAUCUCACCCAAGAUUUCUACCUCAAUUUCUGAUUAUAAUGUACCAUUAUCCAAUCCCACCUUCCAACCCCUAGCACUCCAAUUGUAGUACCCCAUAUGGUAUAACUGUAUCCUGUUGCAGACUCAUUUGAAUUCAUUGAACAAGACUACGUUCCUGUUCAUGCUAAUUUCAUGUCUAUGGAGACUUGGUUGUCUUCUUUGAAGCCUUGUAUGAUAAUUCUACAACUAGGAUUCCAAAUUGCAAAGUGAGGAUGAUCAAAAAGGGUUGAGUCCAGUUAAAUCAAGGGACCUAGUUGUGAGUCCAGUCAAAAAGGGACCAGUUAAAUCAAUGGUGCAGAGAGUAUGGGCAGCCAUAUUCCAGCACUUUUGUCAAUAUCACAAGCUUAUCCAUCAGAUGAUUUGCAGGGGACAUCAUUAUUGCACCCUUCCUGUAGGAUUCAGCUUCUCACCCAAUAUAUUAGUGCUCUAACAGAAUUAGCUCAAGAAAAGGUAAGAAAGUUUUGAUUGGAACUUCAUCAGGCACUGCUUUUAAAAGUGCCUGGUAUCAUUAUUGAUGGAUCUUCAUAUGCUUGUGGUACUAUUUUAUUUUACGAAGUACUUCCAACAGGAGGUAUUAUGUGAGAUUAGGGGCAUAAACACAUGAUGUCAGACUAGGCACAUAUUUGUGAUUCCUUAUGGCAUAUCAGUCUUGAUGUGAAUAGUGACCAAGAUGCUGCAAAAGAACAAAAUUCUUUCAUUGUUUGUAGCUUUGUGCACUUUAGGUUUACCCAACUGAAAUUUAGUCAAUAUAAAAAGGUUGAGUUCGGUUGCCACUGGUCGACAAUAUGAGAAACUCAAACAAAAUAAUCUUGUGAUUCUUGCAUCCUCAAGGGGGCAGAACCUGAUACUCAUGGCUGAGAAAGGAUACUAUGUCCAAGAUUGAACACCCCAACAGUGCACCUCGUGUACAAUUUUCAUAGUGGUCAACAAGUGUCAAUUGCACAUUUGAAAAGGCUUCAUGUGGUUUGAUGUACAUGUCACCAUUCUUAUCUUGUAGUAGCUGUGUACAAAUUUAUUACUUACAAGAAUGAUGAAUUAUAAGAGCUGCAGAAGUGACAGAAUAUUUAGGUUUGAAGCUGAUAAACAGGAUGAGUAACAAACAAGACAAAAAAUGAGACGCAAUGCUUCAAGAGACAUCAUGAAUUAUAAACCUUAAGAAAGAAGCUUGCAUGUGGCAAUGUUUGAGUUUGCUAUUUUCCUGCAGCUAGAAGUAAAAAACUCAAACACAUGAAAAAUGUUUGUAUCUGCAAGCAUGACAUGUAUCAAAUAGUGGGGCAAGUCAAUUUGUGUUUUAUAGUUAUUAGCGUGAAGGUAUGAGUUUUUAAUCCUUGUGUUGCAGUAAGACUUCAGUAACAUUUAUAUCAUAAUCGAACAUGAAAAUUCAUCUUUCUUUUAAGUGACCCUUUUUCUAGGGUAUCAUGUGCAUGUGGCAGAAACUCUUCCCAUCCAAGCCUUCAUCGCUAACAAGUGAAUAGAGAUGGAUAACUGGAGUCUGAUUAACCAAUGGAUGCCCCCAGUGGUAUUUCGGUACAAGUUACUUUAAUGUCACAUAGCAUUCAAAGCGUAGAAGCUCACAUCACAAUACUUGACCUCAUGAUUUUGAUUCCAAAUUUGCAGGGGAAGAUCACUGUAUAUAUCAUGUCCAAGGCUCAAGCAUUCCAUUGGGAACUAUAAUCUCAUAUUACUGUAAAUAUGAGACAUUUUGUGAAAUAUUUUUUGUAGUUGCAGGUUUUGAAGUGUAUCCUUCUCCACUGUGAUGCAAAAUGAUCGACGAUGGCUGGAACUCCAUGAUCAACGCCUGCCGGAAGCCCUCUCUCAUGAGAUGAACAGACAUUUUGCAUGAGAUGUAAAGCAAUAUAUUUGUAUUUUGGUUAUUGACGUUUGUGGUGUGGCAUCUGUUGGCCAUUGUAUACAGUGACAGAUUUGCACUAUGAUCGAUUUUUCAGGCAUUUAUGCCUCUUUUUUUAAUAAGUAUCGAAAUCUC